GUGGAUUAGGUACCCUGGUAGUCCACGCCGUAAACGAUGAGUGCUAGGUGUUGGGGAGGAAUCCUCGGUGCCGCAGCUAACGCAAUAAGCACUCCACCUGGGGAGUACGACCGCAAGGUUGAAACUCAAAGGAAUUGACGGGGGCCCGCACAAGCGGUGGAGCAUGUGGUUUAAUUCGAAGCAACGCGAAGAACCUUACCAAGGCUUGACAUCCCGAUGACCGCUCUAGAGAUAGAGCUUCUCUUCGGAGCAUCGGUGACAGGUGGUGCACGGCCGUCGUCAGCU
rnacentral:rRNA from 1 species